CAGUAGCCACGGGAAUACGAAGGGGGCUAGCGUUACUCGGAAUUACUGGGCGUAAAGGGCGCGUAGGCGGCACGAUUAGUCAGGCGUGAAAUUCCUGGGCUCAACCUGGGGACUGCGCUUGAUACGGUCGAGCUAGAGGAUGGAAGAGGGUUGUGGAAUUCCCAGUGUAGAGGUGAAAUUCGUAGAUAUUGGGAAGAACACCGGUGGCGAAGGCGGCAACCUGGUCCAUUACUGACGCUGAGGCGCGACAGCGUGGGGAGCAAACAGGAUUAGAUACCCGCGUAGUCCCUGUCUCUUAUAC
rnacentral:rRNA from 1 species